GCGAAGCCUGACGGAGCAAUACCGCGUGAGGGAGGAAGGCUUUUGGGUUGUAAACCUCUUUUCUCAGGGAAGAAAAAAAUGACGGUACCUGAGGAAUAAGCAUCGGCUAACUCCGUGCCAGCAGCCGCGGUAAUACGGAGGAUGCAAGCGUUAUCCGGAAUGAUUGGGCGUAAAGGGUCCGCAGGUGGCUAUGUAAGUCUGCUGUUAAAGAAUGUGGCUUAACCUCAUCAGAGCGGUGGAAACUACACAGCUAGAGUGCGUUCGGGGUAGAGGGAAUUCCUGGUGUAGCGGUGAAAUGCGUAGAUAUCAGGAAGAACACCAGUGGCGAAAGCGCUCUACUAGGCCGCAACUGACACUGAGGGACGAAAGCUAGGGGAGCGAAUGGGAUUAGAUACCCCAGUAGUCCUAGCCGUAAACGAUGGAUACUAGGCGUGGCUUGUAUCGACCCGAGCCGUGCCGGAGCUAACGCGUUAAGUAUCCCGCCUGGGGAGUACGCACGCAAGUGUGAAACUCAAAGGAAUUGACGGGGGCCCGCACAAGCGGUGGAGUAUGUGGUUUAAUUCGAUGCAACGCGAAGAACCUUACCAAGACUUGACAUGUCGCGAAUCCUGCCGAAAGGUGGGAGUGCUUUCGGGAGCGCGAACACAGGUGGUGCAUGGCUGUCGUCAGCUCGUGUCGUGAGAUGUUGGGUUAAGUCCCGCAGCGAGCGCAACCCUCGUUUUUAGUUGCCAGCAUGAAGAUGGGCACUCUAGAGAGACUGCCGGUGACAAACCGGAGGAAGGUGGGGAUGACGUCAAGUCAGCAUGCCCCUUACGUCUUGGGCUACACACGUACUACAAUGCUACGGACAAAGGGCAGCGACACAGCGAUGUGAAGCAAAUCUCAUAAACCGUAGCUCAGUUCAGAUCGCAGGCCGCAACUCGCCUGCGUGAAGUAGGAAUCGCUAGUAAUUGCAGGUCAGCACACUGCAGUGAAUUCGUU
rnacentral:rRNA from 1 species